GGUUGACCUCGGAUCAGGUAGGGAUACCCGCUGAACUUAAGCAUAUCAAUAAGCGGAGGAAAAGAAACCAACCGGGAUUGCCCUAGUAACGGCGAGUGAAGCGGCAAGAGCUCAAAUUUGAAAGCUGGCCCCCGCGGGGUCCGCAUUGUAAUUUGCAGAGGAUGCUUCGGGAGCGGUCCCCAUCUAAGUGCCCUGGAACGGGCCGUCAUAGAGGGUGAGAAUCCCGUAUGGGAUGGGGUGCCCGCGCCCGUGUGAAGCUCCUUCGACGAGUCGAGUUGUUUGGGAAUGCAGCUCUAAUUGGGUGGUAAAUUUCAUCUAAAGCUAAAUAUUGGCCGGAGACCGAUAGCGCACAAGUAGAGUGAUCGAAAGAUGAAAAGCACUUUGAAAAGAGAGUUAAAAAGCACGUGAAAUUGUUGAAAGGGAAGCGCUUGCGAUCAGACUCGCCUGCGGGGUUCAGCCGGCCUUCGGGCCGGUGUACUUCCCCGCGGGCGGGCCAGCGUCGGUUUGGGCGGCCGGUCAAAGGCCCCUGGAAUGUAACGCCUCUCGGGGCGUCUUAUAGCCAGGGGUGCCAUGCGGCCUGCCCGGACCGAGGAACGCGCUUCGGCUCGGACGCUGGCAUAAUGGUCGUAAGCGACC
rnacentral:rRNA from 1 species